AACUCUUAGCGGUGGAUCACUUGACUCGUGCGUCGAUGAAGAACACAGCUAGCCGCGAGAAUUAAUGUGAAUUGCAGGACACAUUGAUCAUCGACACUUUGAACGCACUUUGCGGCCCCCCGAGUUCCUCCCGGGGCUACGCCUGUCUGAGGGUCG